rnacentral:piRNA from 1 species
UGCCAGUUGAUGGGGAAGAAAGGAAGU